GGCUCGAGUUCAGCACAACAACUGAUCAAAUCCCAACAGCCGAUGUGGUUGUCGAUACUAUAACAGAAGCCUUGAGUAACCCAAACAAAACCGUCAACCUGACUCUUGAUCCAAACUCCAUCACAGUUAUUCCUCCAGUAGUACCAACAAUAACUACCGGGCCAAUGACAACUGGCUUUACUCUAACUUCCUCACCAGUUGUGGUUCUCACAGCAACCUUGGAAAGACCAUUUGUAAAAGAGCUCAACAAUCGCAGCAGUGAACAGUACAGAGAACUUGAAAGACAAGUGGUGACAACGUGCGACCUAAUCUUCAGAGAGAGAUUCUGGCUCAUUUUCAUCCGCAC